CCCAUUUCACAUCCAAAACCACGGCACCACAAUACUUCCUCAUCAUCUCAUAUUACAAACCGCGGCACCUUAUCUGCCAUUCAUCUCCAUUUCCUCUCCAUUGUUACCUCAGCCCAAACCACAACAACAUUUCCUCACCUUGUAAUCAUCGACCAAGAGAGAGAGAGAGAGAGAGAGAGCUGCACUCUGCAAGCCGAGAGUGAGAGUGAGGGAGAGCCGAGCUUCUUGUUUCUUUUCUUUCCGUCCGUAAGCUAGAGGGGGAAGAGAGGGACUUGCGAUUCAUUCUGUCUUCUAACCGUGAGCUGGUGAAGGGACUAAGGGCUGAACUUUCUCCAUUCCAGCCGCCACCCAGAGCAAGGGAGAGAGAGAGCUAGUGGUCUGCAUUUUCUGGGCUGCCGAAGGGAGGAGGAUUAUUUCUGCUGCUAACCGUGUGUAUGAGCUCCAUUUGAGGAUUUGAGACCAAAGGUGCUCGGAAGUAGUACUAGAUUGUUUACUUUCAUGAAUGUAAUUCGAGUUAAACAUUGUAGUUUUGCCUUAGGUUGCCACUUGAAGCUGGAAAAGUGUAAACCCUGGAUUUGUAUGUGGCUUGUAUGAAUUUGUUACUUGGCUUGUAAGGAUGUAUUUGAAUUGAUGUUUUGUUUCUUGGGUUGUAUUCGGGAAGGUAUUUUAAGAAUCGACGUUGG